rnacentral:rRNA from 1 species
GAUGAACGCUGGCGGCGUGCUUAACACAUGCAAGUCGAACGGUGAAAGCGGAGCUUGCUCUGCUGGAUCAGUGGCGAACGGGUGAGUAACACGUGAGCAAUCUGCCCCUGACUCUGGGAUAAGCGCUGGAAACGGCGUCUAAUACCGGAUAUGAGCUGCGAAGGCAUCUUCAGCAGCUGGAAAGAACUUCGGUCAGGGAUGAGCUCGCGGCCUAUCGGCUAGUUGGUGAGGUAACGGCUCACCAAGGCGUCGACGGGUAGCCGGCCUGAGAGGGUGACCGGCCACACUGGGACUGAGACACGGCCCAGACUCCUACGGGAGGCAGCAGUGGGGAAUAUUGCACAAUGGGCGAAAGCCUGAUGCAGCAACGCCGCGUGAGGGACGACGGCCUUCGGGUUGUACACCUCUUUUAGCAGGGAAGAAGCGAGAGUGACGGUACCUGCAGAAAAAGCGCCGGCUAACUACGUGCCAGCCGCCGCGGUAA